rnacentral:piRNA from 1 species
UGGUGGAAGAAGUGGAAUCAAAAGGUU